rnacentral:rRNA from 1 species
GAUGAACGCUGGCGGCGUGCCUAAUACAUGCAAGUCGAGCGAACGGACGCGACGCUUGCUUCUUUGAUGUUUGCGGCGGACGGGAGAGUCACACGUGUAUAACCUACCUAUAAGACUGGGAUAACUUCGGGAAACCGGAGCUAAUACCGGAUGAUAUUUUGAACCGCAUGGUUCAAAAGUGAAAGACGGUCUUGCUGUCACUUCUAGAUGGAUCCCGGCUGCAUUAGCUAGUUGGUAGGGUAACGGCUUACCAAGGCGAGGAUGCAUAGCCGACGGGUGUGGGGGGUAGGCGACAUGAGAGGGGAGCCGGGGUCAAUGCGACUGAGGGAGGCAGCAGUAUGGAACGGUCGGCAAUGGGCGAGAGCAUGACGGAGCGACGCCGAGUGAGAGACGAAGGUCUUCGGAUCGGGAAACUCUGUUAUGAGUGAAGAACAUAUGUGUAAGUAAAUGUGGAGUGCGUGACGGUACCUAAUAAGAAAGCCACGGCUAACUACGUG